rnacentral:rRNA from 1 species
CUCAUUAAAUCAGUUAUAGUUUAUUUGAUGGUCUCUUUUGUCUUUUUUUACCUACUUGGAUAACCGUGGUAAUUCUAGAGCUAAUACAUGCGCAAGGUCCCGAGCGCGGGGGGCAGGGCUUCACGGCCCUGUCCUCGCAUGCGCAGAGGGAUGUAUUUAUUAGGUUAAAAACCAGCGGCAGGGUCAGCAAUGGCCCCUGCCAAACACUCCUGGUGAUUCAUAGUAACUCUUUCGGAUCGCAUUCAUG